rnacentral:rRNA from 1 species
GAUGAACGCUGGCGGCGUGCCUAAUACAUGCAAGUCGAGCGAACAGACGAGGAGCUUGCUCCUCUGACGUUAUCGGCGGACGGGUGAGUAACACGUGGAUAACCUACCUAUAAGACUGGGAUAACUUCGGGAAACCGGAGCUUAUACCGGAUAAUAUAUUGAACCGCAUGGUUCAAUAGUUAAAGACGGUUUUUCUGUCACUUAUAGAUGGAUCAGCGCGGCAUUAGCUAGUUGGUAAGGUAACGGCUUAGCAAGGCGACGAUGCGUAGCCGACCUGAGGGGAUGAUCGACAACUCGGGAGAGAGGACGCGCACCCACCUCCUAAGUGAGGCACCACUAGGAAACCUACGGCAAGGGGCGAAGGCCAAACGGAGCAACGCGGCGUAAGUGAUAAAGAUCUUCGGAUCGUAAAUCACGGUUAUCAGGGAAUAACAAAGGUGUAAUUACCUAGACGCGACUUAACGUACCCUAAUCAGAAGGCCACGCUUAACUACUU